ACGCCGGCGAGGCGCUGGAGAUCAUUCGCCUUGCCGAGGCGAACGGCGUGCCGGUGAUGAGCAGCUCCGCGCUCCGCUUCGCGGAAGGCGUG
rnacentral:tRNA from 1 species